rnacentral:rRNA from 1 species
AGUCGAACGGCAGCACGGGAGCAAUCCUGGUGGCGAGUGGCGAACGGGUGAGUAAUAUAUCGGUACGUGCCCAGUCGUGGGGGAUAACGCAGCGAAAGCUGUGCUAAUACCGCAUACGAUCUCUGGAUGAAAGCGGGGGACCGCAAGGCCUCGCGCGAUUGGAGCGGCCGAUAUCAGAUUAGCUAGUUGGUGGGGUAAAAGCCCACCAAGGCGACGAUCUGCAGCUGGUCUGAGAGGACGACCAGCCACACUGGAACUGAGACACGGUCCAGACUCCUACGGGAGGCAGCAGUGGGGAAUUUUGGACAAUGGGCGCAAGCCUGAUCCAGCAAUGCCGCGUGCAGGAUGAAGGCCUUCGGGUUGUAAACUGCUUUUGUACGGAACGAAACGGCCUUUUUAAUACAAGGGGCUAAUGACGGUACCGUAAGAAUAAGCACCGGCUAACUACGUGCCAGCAGCCGCGGUAAUACGUAGGGUGCGAGCGUUAAUCGGAAUUACUGGGCGUAAAGCGUGCGCAGGCGGUUAUAUAAGACAGAUGUGAAAUCCCCGGGCUCAACCUGGGACCUGCAUUUGUGACUGUAU